rnacentral:rRNA from 1 species
CAUCCUCCAAGGCUAAAUACUCCUGACUGACCGAUAGUGAACCAGUACCGUGAGGGAAAGGCGAAAAGAACCCCGGCGAGGGGAGUGAAAAAGAACCUGAAACCGUGUACGUACAAGCAGUGGGAGCACCCUUUGGGGUGUGACUGCGUACCUUUUGUAUAAUGGGUCAGCGACUUAUAUUCUGUAGCAAGGUUAACCGAAUAGGGGAGCCGUAGGGAAACCGAGUCUUAACCGGGCGUUAAGUUGCAGGGUAUAGACCCGAAACCCGGUGAUCUAGCCAUGGGCAGGUUGAAGGUUGGGUAACACUAACUGGAGGACCGAACCGACUAAUGUUGAAAAAUUAGCGGAUGACCUGUGGCUGGGGGUGAAAGGCCAAUCAAACCGGGAGAUAGCUGGUUCUCCCCGAAAGCUAUUUAGGUAGCGCCUCGUGAAUUCAUCUCCGGGGGUAGAGCACUGUUUCGGCUAGGGGGCCAUCCCGGCUUACCAACCCGAUGCAAACUGCGAAUACCGGAGAAUGUUAUCACGGGAGACACACGGCGGGUGCUAACGUCCGUCGUGAAGAGGGAAACAACCCAGACCGCCAGCUAAGGUCCCAAAGUCAUGGUUAAGUGGGAAACGAUGUGGGAAGGCCCAGACAGCCAGGAUGUUGGCUUAGAAGCAGCCAUCAUUUAAAGAAAGCGUAAUAGCUCACUGGUCGAGUCGGCCUGCGCGGAAGAUGUAACGGGGCUAAACCAU